rnacentral:misc_RNA from 1 species
AAAGUCGUAACAAGGUUUCCGUAGGUGAACCUGCGGAAGGAUCAUUAUUGAAUAUUCUUGAUGGGUUGUAGCUGGCUCUUUGGAGCAUGUGCACGCCUGUCUUGACUUAAUUCAUCCACCUGUGCACUUUUUGUAGUCUUGGAGGUUGAGAGCGGUCGACUAUCGGAUGGCUGUUAUGGCCUUUCCGGAUGUGAGGAAUUGCUGAGUGCAAAAGCAUACAGCUCUUCUCAAAAUGACUCACAAUACCUCUCCUUCAAGUACUAUGUAUUCAUAUACCACAUAGUAUGUUGUAGAAUGUGAUCAAUGGGCUUAUGGCCUAUAAUAAUGAAAUACAACUUUCAGCAACGGAUCUCUUGGCUCUC